UUUGGGAGACAAGCAAUUAAUGAAGAAGAUUUCAUUUGAUCUUGAGGAUCAAAGUGUAUCAAAACAAAAUAAAAUUUUCUCUCACCUCUCACCCUCAACCUCUCGCCCCUCUCUCUUUCUCUCUCCCUCAUCUCUCUUUCCUCCAUGAACCUCCAUUAGAGAGACCUUCCAAGCUUCCCAAAAUCACAUCUAUGGCAUAAUCCUUCACUAAAUUAAUCAAGCCCUAAACACUCUCUACACUUGAUUUCAAAGAGAUUUUAGAAGGUUUGAGCUUGAAGUUUAGAGAGAAGAAAUUCUACUUUUCCUUAAAAAUUUUGAGAUAAGCGAGGAGGAGGAAGAUCGGUCUGCUGCUGGCGGGGACUUAUUUUGGACGACGUUGUUUUUUUUACCAUAUUUCUACUUUAUACGGUAUCCUUUUGACGUUGGAUGUUUAUAUUUUAAACUUAGUCAGGAAAUACACUCUUGGCUAUGUGUCUUCAUACAUAUAGUCUGAUCACGUUUUGCUGCGAAACUCUGUAAAUUAUAAACCUUUGUAAAUUUUUAACUAUGUCCGCUUUGUAAACUUUGUCGAGAAUCUCUGUACUUUUGAACUUAUGAAGCUGAUAAUAUUUGUGUCUUUGAGAUGA